CAGCCCCCCGAGUGGUAGGGAUGUUUAUUUGGCCUAAAGCGUCCGUAGCCGGUUUGGUAAAUCUCUCGUUAAAUCCAACGUCCUAAGUGUUGGGCUGCGAGGGAGACUGCCAAGCUGGAGGGUGGGAGAGGUCAGCGGUAUUCCUGGGGUAGGGGCGAAAUCCUUUGAACCCAGGAGGACCACCAGUGGCGAAGGCUGCUGACUAGAACACGCCUGACGGUGAGGGACGAAAGCUGGGGUAGCGAAUCGGAUUAGAUACCCGAGUAGUCC
rnacentral:rRNA from 1 species